CGCGGUGAGAGUUCAAAGCAUCAAAGAGGCCCGACCAGCGAGAAAUUGCUUAGGAUUCAUCUGCCGGCACGGGACCCUCCGGACGCGUUUCGUUCUCUUCUCUUCUCUUCUCUUCUCGUUCUCUAUCUGUUCUGCGGCCGGGGUAUUGUGAAUACGCCUGGCACCUUGGACCGCGAUCCGACUCUGCUCGAGAGCACGACUCCUUCACCGUGAUGGGCCUCGCAGCACUCGCGGCGGCAAUAUUUUUGGAGAUCGCUGGAUGGAUGGAUGGAGUUUGUAUAGACCGUCGAUAUUGCCACUUGGCUCGCUCAGGGACGAUCGUUAGGUAAGACAAGAUGAUGGCUUGCUUCGUGACACUUUGCGAUCGCGAUUCUUACUGAGAAACGCAGAUUCAGGAAAAGGGUGAUUAGCGAUGAAGUUGACUCGGUGAGUGAUGAAGGGAAUUUUAAAGGCAGAGAAUACGUACGACAACGUUGUGAAGCUUCCGAUGGAAUUGCACCAGGUGCUCAAGCAACCCAGAUGUUGCAACUUAUUCUUCAGAGAGCGUAGGUUAGCUAGGAAAUUGAGAAUAUUCAGCCGUUGAUGAAUCGUUGAUGAGACUUUCAACGCCGAGGAAGCAAAAAGAAGCAAGUGUUCUUAUAAAUACGAAAACGUGGCCGUUCAUUAGCAGCGCCAUCCGGCGGCUAAUUUUUGAAACUGCAUAGACAAAAUGAUGAAACCAUUGAAAAUAUUGCAAGAUUCCAUACUAAUUCUAAUUCUAUGAUUCUUGUAAUUGUCACAAAAGUAUACGCGAUAAAUUACAAUUUUAUCCAUUAAACUGUCAUAGGUUGCUAUGAA